rnacentral:rRNA from 1 species
UACGAAGGGUGCAAACGUUUGCUCGGAAUCAUUGGGCGUAAAGCGCACGUAGGCGGCCUGAUAAGUCGGAUGUGAAAUCCCUCGGCUCAACUGAGGACGUGCAUUCGAAACUGCCAGGCUCGAGUAUGGAAGAGGGUCGCGGAAUUCCCGGUGUAGAGGUGAAAUUCGUAGAUAUCGGGAGGAACACCAGUGGCGAAGGCGGCGACCUGGGCCAAUACUGACGCUGAGGUGCGAAAGCGUGGGGAGCAAACAGG